rnacentral:lncRNA from 1 species
CAUUAAAAUAAUUUCAUUUGUCUUGGCUGGAGCUACUCGGCCAGGGUUUAAGACUUUAAAUGAGAAUAAAGGGUGGUAUUUACGAGGAAAUGAGAGUGAAUAAGUCAUCUCUAACCUCUCCCAGCCUUUUUUUCAUAAGAGAGACCAUAUUAAACUUACAUGUUUGAAGACUGCUUCAUUCUGCCUCUAGUACCAGCGGUUUCUCUGUUCUGUGAUCAAUGUGAUUCACAGGAACUCCUUAAGUAACAAACGAAAUGAGCCAGGGGCGUGGAAAAUAUGACUUCUAUAUUGGUCUGGGAUUGGCUAUGAGCUCCAGCAUUUUCAUUGGAGGAAGUUUCAUUUUGAAAAAAAAAGGCCUCCUUCGACUUGCCAGGAAAGGCUCUAUGAGAGCAGGUCAAGGUGGCCAUGCAUAUCUUAAGGAAUGGUUGUGGUGGGCUGGACUGCUGUC